AAAACUAGACAGUUCCAUGGGUAUUAAACCCAUUUGAGCGAGGUAGUACUAGGAUGGGUGACCUCCUGGGAAGUCCUCGUGAAAGGGUUUC
rnacentral:rRNA from 1 species